rnacentral:rRNA from 1 species
AUUGAACGCUGGCGGCAGGCCUAACACAUGCAAGUCGAGCGGGGUUUUCGGACCUAGCGGCGGCCGGGUGAGUAAUGCGUAGGAAGCUGCCCGAUAGAGGGGGAUACCAGUUGGAAACGACUGUUAAUACCGCAUAAUGUCUACGGACCAAAGUGUGGGACCUUCGGGCCACAUGCUAUCGGAUGGGCCUACGUGGGAUUAGCUAGUUGGUGAGGUAAUGGCUCACCAAGGCGACGAUCUCUAGCUAGAUGGAGAGGAUGAUCAGCCACCCUGGAACCGGGACCCGGUCCAGAACCCUACGGGAGGCAGCAGUGGGGAAUAUUGGACAAUGGGCGCAAGCCUGAACCAGCCAUGCCGCGGGUGUGAAGAAGGCCUUCGGGGUGUAAAGCACUUUCAGCGAGGAGGAAGGGUGAUGUGUUAAUAGCACAUCAUUUCGACGUUACUCGCAGAAGAAGCACCGGCUAACUCUGUGCCAGCCGCCGCCGUAA